rnacentral:rRNA from 1 species
ACUCAAAUGAAUUGACGGGGGCCCGCACAAGCGGUGGAGCAUGUGGUUUAAUUCGAUGCAACGCGAAGAACCUUACCAAGGCUUGACAUGGAAAUGACGCAUUUAGAGAUAGAUGUUCCCUUCGGGGCAUUUCACACAGGUGGUGCAUGGUUGUCGUCAGCUCGUGUCGUGAGAUGUUGGGUUAAGUCCCGCAACGAGCGCAACCCUUGCCCUUAGUAGCCAUCAUUAAGUUGGGCACUCUAUGGGGACUGCCGUGGAUAACACGGAGGAAGGCGGGGACGACGUCAAAUCAUCAUGCCCUUUAUGUCUUGGGCUACACACGUGCUACAAUGGUCGUAACAAAGCGAUGCGAAAGGGUGACCUGGAGCAAAGCGCAAAAAAGCGGCCCCAGUUCGGAUUAUAGUCUGCAACCCGGCUAUAUGAAGUUGGAAUCGCUAGUAAUCGCAAAUCAGCAUGUUGCGGUGAAUACGUUCCCGGGCCUUGUACACACCGCCCGU